rfam:Myotis lucifugus cont2.32996, whole genome shotgun sequence.
GAGACACCCCUCCGGGGCAAGACUUGUUUCAGUGGGUCUUUGGUGCUCACUGAGUCUGCCCCCUGAGUGUGUCCUU